CUACGGGGGGCUGCAGUAGGGAAUUUUCGGCAAUGGAGGAAACUCUGACCGAGCAACGCCGCGUGAAUGAAGACAUAUUUCGGUAUGUAAAGUUCUUUUAUUAGGGAAGAAUAGCCCAUGGAAAAAUGGGUGUGACGGUACCUAAUGAAUAAGCCCCGGCUAACUAUGUGCCAGCAGCCGCGGUAAUACAUAGGGGGCAAGCGUUAUCCGGAAUUAUUGGGGGUAAAGGGUGCGUAGGCGGCCAUUUAAGUCUUUGGUAUAAGUGCAGUGCUUAACGCUGUGAUGCUAAGGAAACUGAAUGGCUUGAGUGAGAUAGAGGCAAGUGGAAUUCCAUGUGUAGCGGUAAAAUGCGUAAAUAUAUGGAGGAACACCAGUGGCGAAGGCGGCUUGCUGGGUCUAUACUGACGCUGAGGCACGAAAGCGUGGGGAGCAAACAGGAUUAGAUACCCCUGUAGUC
rnacentral:rRNA from 1 species